rnacentral:tRNA from 1 species
UCCCUGGCGGUCCAGUGAUUAAGACUCUGCACUUUUACUGCCGAGGGCCCGAGUUCAAUCCCUGGUCAGGGAA